GAACGAGAUCUUCGGAUCUAGUGGCGCACGGGUGCGUAACGCGUGGGAAUCUGCCUUGGGGUUCGGAAUAACUCCCCGAAAGGGGUGCUAAUACCGGAUGAUGUCGAAAGACCAAAGAUUUAUCGCCCUGAGAUGAGCCCGCGUAGGAUUAGCUAGUUGGUGUGGUAAAGGCGCACCAAGGCGACGAUCCUUAGCUGGUCUGAGAGGAUGAUCAGCCACACUGGGACUGAGACACGGCCCAG
rnacentral:rRNA from 1 species